rnacentral:rRNA from 1 species
UACGUAGGUGGCAAGCGAUACUCGGAAUCACUAGGCGUAAAGCGCAGGUAGGUGGUUUGGAAAGUCUCUUGUGAAAGCUCCCGGCUUAACUGGGAGAGGUCAAGGGAAACUACCAGGCUAGAGUGCGGUAGAGGUAGCUGGAAUUCCCGGUGUAGCGGUGAAAUGCGUAGAUAUCGGGAGGAAUACCUAUGGCGAAAGCAGGCUACUGGACCGUCACUGACUCUGAUCUGCGAAAGCUAGGGGAGCAAACAGG